GUUUAGUUGAUACGAAAGAUCACUCUAGACAGACUGCCGUUGACAAAACGGAGGAAGGUGGGGACGACGUCAAAUCAUCAUGCCCCUUAUGUCCUGGGCUACACACGUACUACAAUGGCGGUCAUACAGAGCGAAGCAAGACAGUGAUGUGGAGCAGAUCGCUAAAAGCCGCCUCAGUUCAGAUCGUAGGCUGAAACCCGCCUACGUGAAGUCGGAAUUGCUAGUAAUCGCGGAUCAGCAUGCCGCGGUGAAUACGUUCCCGGGCCUU
rnacentral:rRNA from 1 species